ACGGCAGGGCCCUACCUGGAGCCAGGCCCCAUCGGGACUGCAGACCCGCUGAGGGAAGGCCUGCACUCCACUUGGGGCUGUGAGACGGGACCGAGAGAAGGGCCCUUAAUAUCAAAAAGGAACCCUUUAAAAUAAAUCUGACUCUUCAAAUCUGCUCCAGACUGAAAACCCCAGAGAAGCACCGAAGGCUUUCACCUGCAGCCCACCAGGCCUAGACCUCCAGAAAGAUUGGGACUGAUAAAAAACUGAGUGAGCUGAGCCACCCACAACAAAGAUUUUUCUCAAGUUUGCCAUCUCUCUUCAGAGCAGCGAGAGGUUUUAUUGUUUCAUAUUAUUCAUUCUUUAUGCUUGUGAGCAUUUUGUUGUUAAAUAAAUAGGUUUUUUCCACUUUUCUCCAAAGAAGUUCUUUUCCCGGACCGGCUGGGGGAAGGGGCCUUUUAGGUUUGCUUUCCAGAGAGACCCUAUUCCGAAGUUUCCUCCCAAAUUUGCCCUAAACCAAGACAGGAGUCCUGCAACUUCAUUUGAAUAAAGGGAGCGGGUCCACUGGGGCUCAUGCCCACUGAGUUUUCUUUCGAGGUUUCGGGGGGGAGGGGGGGGCAGAGUGUCACAGCCUCCCUUUUAUCCUAAACUCCCGGCCGCAUGUUGCCCUCUUCCUUUCCCCCUUGGCUGAGGUACUAGGAAGGUACAGCCUUCCCGAACCGCCUACCACACAUCCCCCCUUGAACCUGUCAUUUUCCCUCAAAGUCCAGAAGUUCAAGCUUGUGCAGACCCUUGUCUAUUUCAGGAGCCAAGCUGUCUGGGCCCGGUAACAAACCUGCUGCCCAAAGUCAGUAGAAAUAUUGAGACCUGUCACAGUGGACACGGGAAGAACCACACGAGGACACGCUGUUCAGAAGUCCAAACCUCUGGGGCCUUAGAGACCUUGACCCGAGUGUGAUGUGUCCGCCUGUGUUCAGCUGUACUGACUGCUGUUCCUGUGGUCCUGGCUGGAUGUUAUGAACAGCAAAGUACAAAGGCAGCGUCCGUGCUAACUGGGCUUCCUGUUUUGAAAAACGAGCUUCACUUUUGUGAAAUACAAAGUUGUGUUUCGUGUCAGGGAAAUAAAAAGAAUCUGUGUAAUUGUAAUUGUAGAACACGGCCAUGGGACAGUUAUAAAGAUGAGUUCUAAUAAACAACCGAGGAAAGCAUGGAAGAAGGUUUUUGAACAAACUUUGCUUGCAAUUACCUAUUAUAAAUCUUAAGGUAUUCUGUAAUAAGAGUCUUUGAAUUAUAACUUUAGAAGCUUGUUUGGUAUUAAAGAAUUUUAAACUGUAGUUUUAGAAUGUAAAAAGGCUUUCUCACAAAAUGGUGAAAAACAUCCUGGAUACAGAAGAAAGAUUUCAGCUCGCUGAUUUAUGGUUCUUGAAAAAAGGAAACUGGACAUCACUAUCAAAGACUGAUAGACCUGGAAAAUAGAAGCUGGACCCCACAUCUGGAAGCUGGACCCCACCACCUGGGAUACAUAUCCUGGAUGUACAUCCUGGAAUAUUGAAAUCUGAAAUAGAUCAAAAUAGAAUAUAGAAAUUGAACAGGAACCAAACAUUACCAUCAUAGAUUUAUGACUGUUAGGUAUUGAACAGUGAUGUUAAAAAUUAGAAAUAGAAACUGCUGAGAAAAGCUUAUGAAUAUGUAUGAAUAUAGCCAAUAAUGUUCUGGGAAUUCUUUAGCUUGGUUUCACUCUUGACUCGUCGUGCAAUACUGUAGAUUUGAUUUUUGGGAGUUGUGUAUGCCAUUUUCUCACAACAACUGGGGAGUUAUUGAUAGUUGAAGGGUCAGUGGCAGAAGUCCUCUUCACAUUCUUUCUUUUGCUGUUAUCUGUGUGCUUCUUUCAAUGCUCUUUAAUUAUACAGACAUUUUUUAUUAUUUACACAAAUUAAGAUGAGUUAUUUUCACAAUUGUUGGUUACAAAAAAAAAGGCUUUAGCGACUUCUGCAAAAGUUAACAUUAUAAUGCACAACACAUAGUUUCUUUUUUAACAUUUUGCGAAAGCUGAAAUUAUAUGUUUAUUGCACUAAUAUAUAUGUCUUGGGUUGAAAAAUCUAACCAAAAAUGUGUAUUCCAUUUUCAUCUGUUGAAACCGGUUGGAAGAUAUUGUUCUUUAUCUCUUGUAACUCUAGAGGGAGAAGAGGGCAGAUGCCUUCCGUUAAUGGGACAACUGAUAACACCAGAUAAGGCAGUGCCGCCUUAUCUCUUCCUCCACCCAUCCUUCUCUGAGGGAUAUCACCUGUGAAUGGGCCAUUUAAGGCCUCUCACAUGACUGAUAACAUGACCUCAUUCCAUUGUGAGAUGCUCCACCCAGUGGGAGGAUCCAAAGCCUUUCCACUGGGAUAAAACCAGCAAUCCCGAACACCAAAGGAGCCUGUUUCUACUGGAUUCCCAGAGGAUGACUGGACUCUUUCUUGAGGAUCAUCUCUUCUUCAACAGAGCCACAUCUGUCACUCCAGGAGGACUUAUUUUGGGCUGCUUUCAACACCUUGACCAAUGGGAUGUCACGUUUGCAUUCUGACUCUUUCAGUGGUCCUUUGUACUAUUGCAUGUAUCUUAUUUUAUUUUUACCCUUUUUGUUGUUUCUUUCUUCUCUCUCCAUUAAAUUGUAUUUCUGACUUGGAGUCUCACUGGUUUGCUUUCAAACCAGUACAACAUAAUAGCAAAAGCCAACAACUACAUAGUUAUUUAUAAC